rnacentral:tRNA from 1 species
GCCCCUGUGGCGGAAUUGGUAGACGCGCUCGACUCAAAAUCGAGUUUCGAAAGAAGUGUCCGUUCGAGUCGGACCAGGGGCACCA